rnacentral:tmRNA from 1 species
GGGGGCGAACUGGUUUCGACGGGGGUAGGUGUCUCCGAGAAGCGAGCCGGGGUUGCCUGGACUCCCUGUUAUCAAAAGUCCAGGGAAAAGAUAAGUGCCAACGAAGAACUUGCUCUUGCAGCUUAAUUAAAAAGCUGCCGUCCUACUAGAACUUGGCUGGGGUUCUAGAUAGGGCGUGACAUAACCAGCCUAGCAACUUUGGGUUUUCCUUCCGCCCAAAGUUGUGAAAUCUGAGGAAGGAUAGGAUUUGAAGAGCCUGUCUGUGGGCGCUUCAAAUCCGAAAGUUAAAACACAGACUGCGCUCGGAGAAGCUCGGAGGUACCUACUUUCGGACGCGGGUUCGAUUCCCGCCGCCUCCACCA